AUUGAACGCUGGCGGCAUGCCUUACACAUGCAAGUCGAACGGCAGCACGGGUGCUUGCAUCUGGUGGCGAGUGGCGAACGGGUGAGUAAUACAUCGGAACGUACCUUAUCGUGGGGGAUAACGCAGCGAAAGCUGUGCUAAUACCGCAUACGCCCUGAGGGGGAAAGCGGGGGAUCGCAAGACCUCGCGCGAUUAGAGCGGCCGAUGCCUGAUUAGCUUGUUGGUGGGGUAAAAGCCCACCAAGGCGACGAUCAGUAGCUGGUCUGAGAGGACGAUCAGCCACACUGGGACUGAGACACGGCCCAGACUCCUACGGGAGGCAGCAGUGGGGAAUUUUGGACGAUGGGGGCAACCCUGAUCCAGCAAUGCCGCGUGAGUGAAGAAGGCCUUCGAGUUGUAAAGCUCUUUUGUCAGGGAAGAAACACCGGCUCUAACACAGUCCGGGAAUGACGGUACCUGAAGAAUAAGCACCGGCUAACUACGUGCCAGCCGCCGCAGUAA
rnacentral:rRNA from 1 species